rnacentral:sRNA from 1 species
CAUCGUGCUUGCCAAGCACAUUGUUGGCAAUAACAAUUCGAAAGUGUCAUCACCAGUGGGGUUAAAAACUUGAUGUGACGGUAAAAAACGAUGCAUCAUUGUUCAGUGUUUUUGAGAUGUAUCACGAGGGGCCAUCUGACUGGCCUAAAGGCAGCAAAACUUUGAUUUUGUGCUGGCCAAGUAAGCUACAUACAAAAGACACAGAUCCAUAUGAGGUCCAACGCAGUGUAUCGGUGGGAGAUUUGGUUGGAUUUCAGUGUCAAGUGUCAAGUUUCAGGAUACACAGGAAGGAAGACCUUCAUUAAAAGGUGAAAGUGAAGAAAGCAAAUAAGAUUCAGGAGAUGGACCAAGAGACCGUCAUGGAGGCACCGGAGAGAGAUGAUGAAACAGAAGUCGAAUCAGGAGGUAUUAGAUGUAGAUGAACCCAGUAAUUUAUCCAAACCAGAGCUUCAAGUCAUGGAAGAGCCAAAGUUUGCAGACUUCCGCCUUACUACGCCUCAGCAUGCAAGAGUAACAAUUCUUUGUGUGGAGUGCAGAAAACCAAGAGUAUUAUACUCCAAGCAUGUGUUAACCGAAAGACAGAUGGUUUCUCUAGUAAUCAUACUCAGCGAAUUUGAUUAUACUUGUGGUGCCCCUAUUACACCGCCACACCAUUUACUGCAUGGAGUUGUGAUGACGAGAUCUCAAAUGUCAUGUGCAUCCGCUGUUGAAGUAACAUACUACAGUGGAGACAUUGGUAGAAAAGACACAUGUUGCCAUUGUGGAGCAGAGGGAGGCGAAAUAUCAUAAGAUUAUAAAAAACAAUAUAAAAGUGUUCUUCCUCUGUGCAAUGACUGCUAUACUCUGGGAAAAUUGCCAGUUGUAAGCCGCACUUUUGGCAGAAAAAAAUAAACUCAUCUUUUCCAACUUGUUUAUUGUUGUUGAAGUGAAAAAAAUAAAAUGUUUAAAU